GUUUACGGCCAUAUCACAUUUUAAAGCACCGGUUCUUGUCCGAUCACCGAAGUUAAGCAAAAUCGAGCCUAGUUAGUACUUAGAUGGGUGACCGCUUGGGAAACCUAGGUGCUGUAAACA
rnacentral:rRNA from 1 species